rnacentral:rRNA from 1 species
GACCAGACUCCUACGGGAGGCAGCAGUGAGGAAUAUUGGUCAAUGGUCGGGAGUCUGAACCAGCCAAGUAGCGUGAAGGAUGACUGCCCUAUGGGUUGUAAACUUCUUUUAUAUGGGAAUAAAAUGUUCCACGUGUGGGAUUUUGUAUGUACCAUAUGAAUAAGGAUCGGCUAACUCCGUGCCAGCAGCCGCGGUAAUACGGAGGAUGCGAGCGUUAUCCGGAUUUAUUGGGUUUAAAGGGUGCGCAGGCGGAGGUGCAAGUCAGCGGUCAAAUUGCGGGGCUCAACCCCGUACUGCCGUUGAAACUGCAUCCCUUGAGUGCGCGAGAAGUAUGCGGAAUGCGUGGUGUAGCGGUGAAAUGCAUAGAUAUCACGCAGAACUCCGAUUGCGAAGGCAGCAUACCGGCGCGCAACUGACGCUCAUGCACGAAAGCGUGGGUAUCGAACAGGAUUAGAUACCCUAGUACG